rnacentral:lncRNA from 1 species
GAAACGGUCAGUUGACCCCUUUAGGAGUUAUUGCCCUUUAUAGUCAAUUUUUAACCAUUUUUCGUAAAUCUUAGUAAUCUUUUACAAAAAUCUUCUCCUCUGAAACUACUGGGCCAAACUAAACUUAACUUGGCCACAAUCAUCAUUGGGAUAUCUAGUUUAAAAAAUGUGUGGCGUGACCCGCCCAAACAACCAAGAUGGCC